rnacentral:rRNA from 1 species
GACGAACGCUGGCGGCGUGCUUAACACAUGCAAGUCGAACGGAAAGGCCCUGCUUUUGUGGGGUGCUCGAGUGGCGAACGGGUGAGUAACACGUGAGUAACCUGCCCUUGACUUUGGGAUAACUUCAGGAAACUGGGGCUAAUACCGGAUAGGAGCUCCUGCUGCAUGGUGGGGGUUGGAAAGUUUCGGCGGUUGGGGAUGGACUCGCGGCUUAUCAGCUUGUUGGUGGGGUAGUGGCUUACCAAGGCUUUGACGGGUAGCCGGCCUGAGAGGGUGACCGGCCCCCUUGGGACUGCGAGACGGCCCAGCCUCCUACGGGAGGCAGCAGUGGGGAAUAUUGCACAAUGGGCGGAAGCCUGAUGCAGCAACGCCGCGUGCGGGAUGACGGCCUUCGGGUUGUAAACCGCUUUCGCCUGUGACGAAGCGUGAGUGACGGUAAUGGGUAAAGAAGCACCGGCUAACUACGUG